GACGAAGGAUGCAAGCGUUAUCCGGAUUCAUUGGGGUUAAAGGGAGCGUAGGCGGCCUUAUAAGUCAGUGGUGAAAUCUUUGGGCUUAACCCAAAAAUUGCCAUUGAUACUGUAGGGCUUGAGUACAGUUGCUGUGGGCGGAAUAUGACAUGUAGUGGUGAAAUACAUAGAGAUGUCAUAGAACACCGAUUGCGAAGGCAGCUCACAAAACUGUAACUGACGCUGAGGCUCGAAAGUGCGGGGAUCAAACAGG
rnacentral:rRNA from 1 species